rnacentral:rRNA from 1 species
UAGUAACGGCGAGUGAAGCGGGAUGAGCUCAAGCUUAAAAUCUCCGUGCAAAUUUUGCAUGGCGAAUUGUAGUCUAUAGAGACGUGAUUAGCAUAGGCACUUGGGGCAAGUUCCUUGGAAGAGGACAGCAUCGAGGGUGAUACUCCCGUUUAUCUCCGAGUUGCUUAUGCGUACAAUCCGUUUUCUUUGAGUCGCGUUGUUUGAGAAUGCAGCGCAAAGUAGGUGGUAAAUUCCAUCUAAAGCUAAAUAUUGGUGCGAGACCGAUAGCAAACAAGUACCGUGAGGGAAAGAUGAAAAGAACUUUGAAAAGAGAGUUAAAGAGUACCUGAAACUGCUGAAAGGGAACCAAAUCGUUUCCAGUGUCUAUAAUCCGUGGUAUAUUUCAUUGGCGAAUGUGUGCGUGCGUGUACUAUGGCAGCGGCUUUUUGCUGCGCCUUGUGUGUGUGUGCACUUUCUCGCUGAUGCCCUGUACCGUGGUGGGACGUCAAUGUCGGUUCGUAAAUUGCGGGAAAUGACUGCCGAGGAGGUAGGGCGAACGCUUGCGUUUGUCUGUUAUAUCUUGGCGGACGUAGUAGUCGCGGUUGGGACUGAGGUGCCUACAAUGUGCUUAUGAGUAGAAUUGAUUCUCCGUGUGCGCUGUGUGCGGAUAGCUUGCUAUGCGUGUGUGGCUGCGUGUGGAUUGAGUCCGAGACGUAACUUAUUGCCGUUC